rnacentral:rRNA from 1 species
GAUGAACGCUGGCGGCGUGCCUAACACAUGCAAGUCGAACGAUGACGCCCAGCCUGGCGGCUGGAUUAGUGGCGAACGGGGGAGUAACACGUGAGUAACCUGCUCUUAACUCUGGGAUAAGCCUGGGAAACUGGGGCUAAUACCGGAUAAGGGCGCCUACCGCAAGGCGGGGGUCGGUAAGAUUUAGCGGUUUUGGGUGGUCGCGUGGCCUAUCAGCUUGUUGGUGGGGUAAUGGCACACCAAGGCGACGACGGGUAGCCGGCCUGAGAGGGCGACCGGCGACACUGGGCCUGAGGGACGGCCCAGACUCCUACGGGAGGCAACGGUGGAGAGUAUUACACAAUGGGCGAGAGCGUGAUGCGGCGACGCCGCGUUAGGGAUGCCGGCCUUCGGGUUGUGAACCUCUUUCAGUAGAGACGGAGCGAAAAUGACGGUACCUGCAGAAGAAGCACCGGCUAACUACGUG